GCUGUUAAUGAGAAUGAUGUUGAUGAUAACACCUAGCAACUAUUAGUAAAGAUGACCUAAUGGUUGCCUAAUGCCCAGCAAACCUGACUUUUAUUAUUAUUAUUAUUAUUUAUUUAUUUAUUUAUUUUUUUUGUCUUUUUGCUAUUUCUUGGGCCGCUCCCGCGGCAUAUGGAGGUUCCCAGGCUAGGGGUCGAAUCGGAGCUGUAGCCACCGGCCUAGGCCAGAGCCACAGCAACGCGGGAUCCGAGCCGCGUCUGCAGCCUACACCACAGCUCACGGCAACGCCGGAUCGUUAACCCGCUGAGCAAGGGCAGGGACCGAACCCGCAACCUCAUGGUUCCUAGUCGGAUUCGUUAACCACUGCGCCACGACGGGAACUCCAAACCUGACUUUUAAAUUCGAACACACCCCUGAGCCCUGGACGUUCCCCUCUUGCCAUUAUGACAUGUGGGGUGAAGGUGGGAGGAGGCCUCCGUCUGGCAGAGGCCCCUUUAAAAAUGUACCCGGGUUCCUCCUCUGCCAACCAAGUUCUAAAAAUAUUACUCCAGCAAAAGCUGAAAUAUUUGCAGAGAAAACUGAAUUUCCUGCUACCCUCACCCCCUCCACUCAAAUGGGCCUGCUGCCAUCCUUCUCCCUCAACUGUGGGGGCCAGCGAAGACAGAGGAGAUGUUUUGAAAUCUGAAGAGUCAAGGAGGAUAACUGCAGCACCGAAGGCCAGCAGGUUAACAGAGUGAGGUAGCCUGCUGCCCAAAGCAGCCUGGCCCAGCAUUCCACGGUGCUUCUGUCCCCUUUCCUUGUUCAUCUAUUCAAGAAUCAGAGGUUCAG
rnacentral:lncRNA from 1 species